CGCAAUGGACUCGGUCUCAGAAAUUAAUGCUCCACUUCUUUGAUCAUCACAUUUAGUGUAGCCGUGACCGUAGUAAUUAGCUGCCGCGAUUGGCGGUGGAGCGGCCGCUACCUCCAGCUCUACAGUGGAAUUCUUGCCGGUUAGUCUCUGAACUACUGAUUUGAAGCUGCUGGCAUCCAUCUCUAUAUAUUGUGUGUUGAUUACAACUAUCUUCACUGGAACUCUCAUAUUUUUUGCUGCUUUUGACAUGUUUAAUUAUUUUCUAAGCCUUCUUCUUCUUCUUAUUGCUAGAAACUAAUACAGCUAUUAGCUUCUGUUUCUUUGACGUUUAAAUGAAAAAAUGUUGAUAACUGGCUUUAAUUAAGGAAGGAGGGGCUGUUUAUUUGAUUACUGAAGAUAAUAUGUGGGUACAUGGGUGUAGGAUUUGGAAGUAUGUACAGCAAAUAAUUGAAGUUCCAUUGUUUUAGUUCUUGUUAACGUUGACAUGGUUGACAGUUUGACAGUUUAGAAAUGGCGUCGUUAAAAAAUAGUUGACCGUUGUGUGCUGUCUAGAAAGACUAGAGGUGUUAAGUCAAUGAUGAUUAUUUCUUUUAAAAAAAAGAAAAAUUGUCAAAGCACGCAUUAGAGAAAAUGUACUCUUUUCGCACGAUCCACGAAAUUGCAUCGAUUAAUUUUGGCUACCAGUUAUUGACAAAAAUAGGGGGGCUCAUGCAUACAGUAGCUAGGUGGGAUUUGUUAUAAAUAUAUUGACCGGAUCAGAUAUCCUAAUUAUCCUUGAAAUAUGUAUGUUGAAUGUAGAAGAAAGGUCUCAGUAACUUUCUAAGUGUGAUAAAAACAUGGUAUGUGUUGCAGGUAUUAACAGAACGAGCCCCAGAAACAAACAAGGCGGGCCCGACAAAUUUUGUGACAUAAAGUCAAACUUUAUGAGGUGUGUUAAUUUUUUUAAAAAUAUAUAUUAUUUUUAAUUUUAAUUCUAUUUUUAAAACUUUUUUUAGAUGCA
rnacentral:lncRNA from 1 species